rnacentral:rRNA from 1 species
UGAGGAAUAUUGGUCAAUGGGCGGAAGCCUGAACCAGCCAUCCCGCGUGAAGGAAGGCGGCCCUAUGGGUUGUAAACUUCUUUAGUACAUGAAGAACAGGAUCUACGCGUAGGUUUAUGACGGUAAUGUACAAAAAGCAUCGGCUAACUCCGUGCCAGCAGCCGCGGUAAUACGGAGGAUGCGAGCGUUAUCCGGAUUCAUUGGGUUUAAAGGGUACGUAGGUGGCCCUGUAAGUCAGUGGUUAAAAUCUGCCGCUUAACGGUAGGGGUGCCAAUGAUACUGCGGGGCUUGAGUACAGUUGAGGUAGGUGGAAUGUGUAGUGUAGCGGUGAAAUGCAUAGAUAUUACACAGAACUCCGAUUGCGAAGGCAUCUUACUAAGCUGAAACUGACACUGAUGUACGAAAGCGUGGGGAUCGAACAG